CGGCAUGUGGGAUCUUCCUGGACCAGGGCACGAACCGGCGUCCCUGCAUCGGCAGGCGGACUCCCAACCGCUGCGCCACCAGGGAAGCCCUCUUGUAAUGUUUUUACAUAGUUUUGAUAUCAGGAUAACACUAGCCUCAAAGACUCUGUAAAUUACAGCAAGAUCAGGGAAACCAGGAGGAAAAAAGAGAUCAGAAGACAGGUCAGGUCCUUCUAAGUGUGACCACGGCAAGUUCAAAUACAAAAUGCACGCGUGCAGUUCCGUCCUUACAGGUUGUCGGAGGUCAGCCCCGAUCACAUACCGAGGAUGAAACCCAGUCGCCCUGUGACCUGAGCCGCUCCUACUGCGUCGGGCGCGGUCUCUGCGCUCCUGCAAGGCAGCGGCUUGCGGAGAGUGGGGAGGGGCUCCCGUGAUCCGGAAGGGCUUCGUCUCCCUGCUCUGCUCUUCUUCUAGCUACACUAUGUGGACUGCUUUGCAAUCAACAUUAAAAGGAGUGGAGGAGAUCUUUCCUUUCCCGAAAGUGGACUCUAUUGUAAAAAGAGUGUAGAACACGACUCUGAGAAAGAGCUCUCGCGUGGCUUCGGCAUGCGUGAAGCCCCCAGACUUGCUUGUGAAAAUGUGGAGCUGGUGUAGAUUUUUCUGGAGAGAGCGUUCCCAGCCUGAGAUUCUCAGAGGGUUUCCGACCUUCAGAAGGUCACGCGUCGCCCAUUCAAGUUCCAGCGGAACCGUCUAGCAGGGAUCCGGCUCCGCAGCUGCUGUGUGGACAUGUCUGAGCCGCCAGCUGCUCCCUUGCCCUGGGUGAGAACCGUGCGGAAAAGGAGCCCGAGUCGUCACAGCCUCUUUUAUCAAGUGUGAUGGGCCUGUGACCUCCAGACGUCCCUUCUGCUUGCGGGAAGCCCCUCUCCACACACUGCCCCGUCCUGGGGCUGCCCUGGCUUCUCCUCCCUCCUUCUGUUGCUACAGACGCCGCACAGAAGCCUGGCCCCCGGACCGGCAUCCUGAGGGGUCCCCGAGAGGGAUCUAGGCGGGAGCGGAUCUCCCGGGCUUCUGAGCCAUCGCGGGGACCCCGAGGCCCCCCUCCCACCCAGGCAGAGCUGCCUCUACACAGAGGGACUCCUUUCUCACGGGUUUGAACCACAAUGACCCCAAAACAUUAUGUUUGGACUUGAAAGACAAGCUUAUUUUUAAAGUUGAACUUCCUACA